rnacentral:rRNA from 1 species
CCUACGGGUGGCAGCAGUGGGGAAUAUUGGGCAAUGGGCGAAAGCCUGAACCAGCAAAGCCGCGUGAAGGAAGAAGGCUUUCGGGUUGUAAAAUUCUUUUGACAGGGAAGAGCAGAAGACGGUACCUGUCGAGUAAGCCACGGCUAACUACGUGCCAGCAGCCGCGGGAAUACGUAGGUGGCAAGCGUUGUCCGGAUUUAAUGGGUGUAAAGGGCGUGUAGCCGGGCUGACAAGUCAGAUGUGAAAUCCGGGGGCUUAACCCCCGAACUGCAGUUGAAACUGUUGGUCUUGAGUAUCGGAGAGGCAUGCGGAAUUCCUGGUGUAGCGGUGAAAUGCGUAGAUAUUAGGAGGAACACCAGUGGCGAAGGCAGCCUGCUGGACGACAACUGACGGUGAGGCGCGAAAGCGUGGGGAGCAAACAGGAUUAGAUACCCUGGUAGUC